GGAGAGAAAGACGUAGAAAAACAGACAAGGAGAGAGGGCAGGAGUGGGGGACACAGGUACUGGGAGAGAGUAGAGACACAGAGACAAGAGAGAAAAGGCAACAAAGACAAAGCCAGAGACGCCCAGCCCGAGAGACAGAGCCACACGGAGAGAAUGGAGAGGGGAGCAGGGUCAGAGGGCCCGGACGACGCAGAGAAGGACGCGAAAGGACGGCCCUCCUUCUGGGAGAGCACCCACUGCUCAUCUGAAUUCUAGAGAACCACUCAAGUGCAUAUAGACGGCAUCCAUCCUAAGAAGGAAAGUGCUCUCUAAGAAGCCACUAUGCCUGAAAUGCCACCAUAUGUAUACACCAUUCCACUAUGGAAAACAUUGCCUUUUCGGGGCUCUUCCUGUGAAAUGCAGGCCAUGAGCUCUUGCUGGACAUACCAGAACAAAGACAUAGUCUCUUCAAGAUGGCAUUCACAGCCAUAGGGCAGGACGACAGGUGGGCGACAACCAUAGCCAGCAGAAGAGCAGACACUGGAACAGAGGUUCAAACCAACAACUAUGGAGCGAGCUGAGCCUUUUAUUGAAGCGUAAUACAUAUACAGAAAAAUUCACCUAUCAUAAGUAUGCAUCUUGGUAAAUUUUCACAAGGAAUAUACCCAUGGAACCAACAUCCAGAUCAAAAUCUGUCAGGCGUCUAGCACCCAGAAGCCCCUGCGGGUCCCUGCCAGUUACUAUGUGCCCCCAAGGCUGACCACUGUCCUGUCUUCUGGUACCACAGGUUUGUUUUGCCUGUUUUUUGAACUUUAUAAAUGCAAGUGUACAGUAUGAACUGUGUCGUGUUCUGUUGUUCAACAGGACGUCUGUGAGAUUUCUCAAUAUUGCAGCUAUCUCCGUAGCUUGUAGCACUCCAUUGUGUGAAUCCGCCACUGUCUGUUGAUGGGCACUGGGUGGUCUCCAGUUCUUGGCUAUUAUGCAUAGUGCUCUGAAUAUCCUUGCAUGCGUCUUUGGUACACAUGCCUGUUGGGUAUAUUCCCAGGAGUAGACUUGGUGGGUUGGAGAGCAUGCGCAUGUUCAACUUGAAUAUGUGACGCCAAAUCAUUUUCUCAAGUGUUUGUAGAUGGAGGGUUUUGAGCAAGGAGGUGGCAGGAGCAGGCCUGGGUCUCGGCCGUCCCUCUCUGCACAGGCUGAGUGUGAAGGGCAUAGGGACAUCCCAGUGGAGCUGUCCUAAGGCUAGAGAGCAGUGGGUCUGGAGCUGGGGAGCUGGGGAGCUAGGCAGCAAGGCUCUGGGCUGAAGAAGGUGGAGAGGGUGUGGAGUGAGGAAGGUAGGGACCAGGGCCAGGCCAUGGAUACAGCCAUAAUGAGGAUGCCACGGAGACAGAGGAGCCCUCAGAGGCAACUGAGGAGGUGCAGCCUAGAGAAGAGGGAAGACCCGGCAAGAGGAAAGGAAGCAAAUCACAUGGGUGCCAAGGGGAGCAUCUGAGGCAGAGGCAGGCAUAGAGCACCAGAGGCACUAAGAGGGCCAGUUAGUCAAGACUGAGCAGGAUGUGUCCACCAGACUUGAUAAGGGAGCUGUGGGGACCUUAAGGAAGUCAUGGUCAAUGGGGUUGGUGUGUGUGCCAG
rnacentral:lncRNA from 10 species